rfam:Dickeya dadantii 3937, complete genome.
AAUAAUAAAUGCUGGCUCCCGGGCGGGAGCCACUGCAAACGAAACAGUUUUGACUUUUUAGUGGCAAGGGCAGGGCUGUUCCGUAUGCUGUUGUUUAAAAAGGCAUUAUAGAUCUAUUGGUAGCACAUGAAUCCCAUCCUGAUAAAUCGUUUACAAAAAAAGCUGGGCUAUACUUUCCAAC